GGGGUUGUGGCUCAGUGGUAGAGCACUUACAUUGCAUGUGUGAGCCACUGAGUUCAAUUCCCAGCACCACA
rnacentral:tRNA from 1 species